rnacentral:sRNA from 1 species
UUGGGUGAUCACAUAACCAAUGUUCCGGCAAUCUGAGAGGAACGCCUUCGGGUGAUUGCACACCAAUGUCACCGUAGCCUGAGAGGUGACGCCUUCGGGUGGUACAGCCCUUUAAUCUUUGGAAAUGGCUGUCGCAUUUUUUGCGAUGAAGAUAUC